rnacentral:rRNA from 1 species
UACGUAGGGUGCGAGCGUUGUCCGGAAUUAUUGGGCGUAAAGAGCUCGUAGGCGGUGUGUCGCGUCGGCCGUGAAAACCUGGGGCUCAACUCUGGGCGUGCGGUCGAUACGGGCAGGCUAGAGUUCGGUAGGGGAGACUGGAAUUCCUGGUGUAGCGGUGAAAUGCGCAGAUAUCAGGAGGAACACCGAUGGCGAAGGCAGGUCUCUGGGCCGAUACUGACGCUGAGGAGCGAAAGCGUGGGGAGCGAACAGG